rnacentral:rRNA from 1 species
GUGGGGAAUAUUGGACAAUGGGCGAAAGCCUGAUCCAGCCAUGCCGCGUGUGUGAAGAAGGUCUUCGGAUUGUAAAGCACUUUAAGUUGGGAGGAAGGGCAGUAAGUUAAUACCUUGCUGUUUUGACGUUACCGACAGAAUAAGCACCGGCUAACUUCGUGCCAGCAGCCGCGGUAAUACGAAGGGUGCAAGCGUUAAUCGGAAUUACUGGGCGUAAAGCGCGCGUAGGUGGUUUUGUAAGUUGGAGGUGAAAUCCCCGGGCUCAACCUGGGCACUGCCUCCAAAACUGCAUGACUAGAGUACGGUAGAGGGUAGUGGAAUUUCCUGUGUAGCGGUGAAAUGCGUAGAUAUAGGAAGGAACACCAGUGGCGAAGGCGACUACCUGGACUGAUACUGACACUGAGGUGCGAAAGCGUGGGGAGCAAACAGGAUUAGAAACCCUGGUAGUCC